rnacentral:rRNA from 1 species
AGGACCUACGGGAGGCAGCAGUGAGGAAUAUUGGUCAAUGGGCGGGAGCCUGAACCAGCCAAGUCGCGUGAGGGAUGACGGCCCUACGGGUUGUAAACCUCUUUUACCGGGGAGCAAAUCGCGCCACGCGUGGCGCGUGAGAGAGUACCCGGGGAAAAAGCAUCGGCUAACUCCGUGCCAGCAGCCGCGGUAAUACGGAGGAUGCGAGCGUUAUCCGGAUUUAUUGGGUUUGAAGGGUGCGCAGGCGGCACGGCAAGCCGGCGGUCAAAUC